rnacentral:rRNA from 1 species
UACGGAGGAUCCAAGCGUUAUCCGGAUUCACUGGGUUUAAAGGGUGCGUAGGUGGAAUGACAAGUCAGUGGUGAAAACCUGCAGCUUAACUGUAGAACUGCCCAUUGAUACUGUUAUUCUUGAGUACAUUUGAUGUGAGUGGAAUGUGUCGUGUAGCGGUGAAAUGCUUAGAUAUGACACAGAACACCAAUUGCGAAGGCAGCUCACAAACUGUAACUGACACUGAGGCACGAAAGCGUGGGGAUCAAACAGG